rfam:Schistosoma mattheei strain Denwood, Zambia genome assembly, scaffold: SMTD_scaffold0022716
ACACUGCUGAGGAGUCCCACAACAGGACAAAACAGCCGUCCAGUGC